rnacentral:lncRNA from 1 species
AGGCUGAAAAGUUCUUUUCUUUUGACAGAAACUAGAAAGCGCUAGUAAGACUUCCAGCCCUCCCUUAGGCGGAGGACUCUGUGAGAGGAGGGUUUGAGGUCACAGAAAGCCAGCUUUGAGGAGGUAGAAGCAAAAUGGGGUCUACUCACAAAGACAGGUUUUCCGAGGUCUUUUGUUUGACAUGGAAAAAUGAGAGAGACACAACAGGUUGGUGGCUGGAAACUGAGUCUGAAUUUAAGACAGCAGCCUCUAGGUGGCGCACACACCGUAAUAAAUACCUUGAAGAGAGGAGAUUUCAUCUGCGAAUGGAGCUUCCCGGCUCACUUCAGAAGCACGGGAGCUUUUUAGACAAGCUACUCCCCACUGCAGCAGAAAGACAACCCCCAAAUCUAAACCCUCUGCAUCCAAUUUAAAGAAGGCAGAGCUUCGAUCAUCUCGAUGACAAUGGAGGGAGGACACCACAUCUACCUAAGGAUCAUGGAGCCAUCAGCUUGGCCUUUUCCGCCAAGAGAGAGAGAGGCACACAUGCAAACUGAGGCAGGAACAGGCUUGACAGUGCCCUGGAUGAUGAAGCAAUCUUUUGCUGCGGACCAUGGAGCAAGCAGCGCUUCACUCAGUGCCCAGCGCUGGAGGAGAGGCCCCAGGGGAGGCAGAAGAUGCCCACCUGCAGAUGCGUGGAAACAUAUGGGAUCAGCAUCCGCAGCGCUCCUGCUGGUGCACUAAACAGGGGCAUUAACCUAAUGCUGCCAUGGAGGACUUUUGUCUUUUCUCUGGCAGAAGGAGCAGCUCACAUCCAGAGCCAACAAGUUGGAGAAAUGGCUUCUCUUGGCGAUUAGGCCUAAUGGUGGAAUUGUUAGACCGCUACAGCUGCAGGGGGCUUUCCUCUCUCAUCCCGGCUCUCCUCCGUUUGCUGUCCUGGAAACAUUUACUGAUUAUUAAAGAAUCACGUGGGUUUGAUUUUUCUCCAAAUAAAAGACCAAGGGUUAUCAGCCACGUCCUCAGUGUGUGACAGCCCCCUGGGAAGGUUCUGAACAGGAUGAAUUGUCUAAACUGCCUGAAGAUCUGAAGUGGGAGAGGUGGAUUACCUGGUGUCCUCGCCUUGCCCUCUUGGCACUUCCUUGCUCUCUAAGCUCCAUGCAAUUGGUCCCAUCCUUAUUCUCAGCCAAGACCCCUACUUCCAGCACAAGUCCUAUCCUACAGGUAGGAUUCAGUGUCCCGGCUGAGAUGGGGACAAACCUCAUCCCAAAGUCAUGCAAAGAGGGGAGGGUUUAAUCCCCAGCAGUGUAGAGAGGAUCUGCUGCAUGGCA